rnacentral:misc_RNA from 1 species
CCCUUGUGGAGGAGGACGCCGAAGGUGGGGCUAAUGACUGGGGUGAAGUCGUAACAAGGUAGCCGUACCGGAAGGUGCGGCUGGAUCACCUCCUAACAGGGAGACAACAAAAUGUUAAAUAUUAAUUUUGUCACCUUAGGUCGAUCGGUACCUCACAUUCUUAAAUUUAUUGAGAAUUUUAUUUCCUAAGUUUUUUCUAGGUCACACCCAUUACUUUCCCUGGGCCAUUAGCUCAGGUGGUUAGAGCGCACCCCUGAUAAGGGUGAGGUCCCUGGUUCAAGUCCAGGAUGGCCCAUAUCUCUAUGUUGGGGGUAUAGCUCAGUUGGUAGAGCGCCUGCUUUGCAAGCAGGAUGUCAGCGGUUCGAGUCCGCUUACCUCCACUGAUUACCACCUCUUCCAUAAUUUUUAGAAGGGAAAUGUUUUGAGUUGUGAUUAAAUUCUGAACGAAUCUAGCUUCCUAAUUAAAUAUAUUAAGAUGCUGGACUCAUUGAAUUAAUUUCAUUGUUUUCAGAGAACCUUGACAACUGCAUAGAUUAUUUUUAAAGACAAUAAGCAUCUUUAAUGAUGCAGAUUUAUUAUUUGUGCUAAUGCAUUAAUAACAAUUCUAUUAAGCUGAUGCUUCAAUUUUUUGAAGUUAUUGGUCAAGCUACAAAGGGCUCACGGAGGAUACCUAGGCACACAGAGGCGA